rnacentral:lncRNA from 14 species
CUGGGGAAGGGAACAGGCCGCGGUGUGGUCCCUCUGUGGGAGGUGCUGAGCCCGUGUGGGGGUGCAGGGCUGGAGGGGGGUGCAGUGUGUCUCAUGGGGGCUCAGACCGGCGCUGUUCUAUCUGUGAUGCUCCGCAGGACUUCCUCAGCCCCGAGUGGAUCCAUCCCUGAGGUGGCUGGACCAGAAGAUCCAUUCUGCAGGAUGGUGAGAGUGCUGCUCUUGCAGUCUGGUUACAGCUGUAUGGUGUUUUUAGGAACCUGCUGUGACCCUUGUAAAUAGCAACAGGGAAUUUCGUGCCAAGCCAGAGGAGGUGAGCACCCCAGGCAGUGUUGGUAUUGAAUGCAUGCUUUGAAGCCUGUGCUGUUUUACUAGGUUUGCUCACUAACUGGGCAAAAUUAAUCCCUGCUGUGGUUACCUCCAGGCUCUCCCAGAAGGGAAAUAAUUUUAAACCCUGUGGUCAGCAAGGUGCUUGUUCCCC